UACGUAGGGGGCAAGCGUUGUCCGGAUUUAUUGGGCGUAAAGAGCGUGUAGGCGGCUGGGUAGGUCCGUUGUGAAAACUCGAGGCUCAACCUCGAGACGCCGAUGGAAACCAUCCAGCUAGAGUCCGGAAGAGGAGAGUGGAAUUCCUGGUGUAGCGGUGAAAUGCGCAGAUAUCAGGAAGAACACCCGUGGCUAAGGCGGCUCUCUGGUACGUGACUGACGCUGAGACGCGAAAGCGUGGGGAGCAAACAGG
rnacentral:rRNA from 1 species